GCAAAGCACAAGCAUUGAAAGAACUUCACAGACUCGCCUGUGUCAGUGGGAAGAAGGAUGCUGCACAAAACUUGACUACUCAGCUAUUUUACUAUCCUCGCGACUUGGCCAGUGAAGCAGAGUCGCAAGUGUGGAAGACAGAGCCACAUGGAGACCAAACUACUCUCCCUGGACUUAGAUUUGGAGAUGCACAUUCUGAGACUUACUGUUUCUGUCAUGAGGAGAGCAUCCUUUCCAGUCUUCAACUGCGUAACUAAAGCCUUCUUCAGUGAACGCUCACCAGUGGUACUCUGGUAUGAAAAGAAAGUGCAAAUGUUCUCUCUUGAGAAUCCUUGCAGAAUAUUUCUGGGAUGCUAGAAA